UGCUGCUCAUUGGUGAGAUUACUUAGCAGGCCAGAGAUUAAAGAACUUGUCUUGUUGCACUAGGGGGGAAAAGAGGUUGUGAGUAGUUAUGAAUGUAUUCUAUGAAUAAAGAACUGAAAGGACACAGAAAUGGAGAAGAGAAAUGUAAUUUAGAUUAGCAAGACUGUGAGGGUUAAGUAUGAAAAGCUAUGUUUGGGAGAUCGUUAUAUAUAGGACGCUAAGAACUGCAGGCUAAGGACUACGUAAUAAAUUUAAACCACAUAAUCAACUACAUAAUAAAACUGUAGUGGAAUCCAAAUGAUUAGACUUAUAAGAAGCAUUAUGGGAGCAAAUACUAUCACCUCUUUCAAGACUGCAGGUGAUUUCAAACUAUUUACUGUGCUACAGCAACCUGAAAACUGAACAAAGAGAGUUGUUUAUAAUUUGGUGAGCUGGGCUAUUGUAGAAUGUAAUAGCACAGUGUGUAUAUCUUUGCUAGAGAACUAAAAUGGUUUAACAGAUAUUCCCUUUUGCAAAGGAACUCUGGGAACUGUAGUUAUGUGAGUGGAGGCUCGAGAUCUGAAAAAGAAAAUUCUCAGCUCCCUCAUCAAACUUCAGCUCCCAGGAUAUAUGACUGUAGGGUGUGUUUGUGUGUAUUCAUGAACUGCAACAACUGAGAGACUGGAGCUUUCCUGAGUUUUCCUGAUUAUGGAAGUCAAUGCCACAGUAUUCCAUCAGCUUCUAUCUCACAAACAGACCACUCUCAAGAAAUAAAAAUACAGUGGUACCUCAGGUUAAGAACUUAAUUAGUUCUGGAGGUGCAUUCUUAACCUGAAACUGUUAUUAACCUGAGGUAGCAUUUUAGCUAAUGGGGCCUCCUGCUGCCACCACGUGAUUUCUGUUCUCAUCCUGAAGCAAAGUUCUUAACCCGAGGUACUAUUUCUGGGUUAGUGGAGUAUGUAACCUAAGCGUCUGUAACCUGAAGCAUCUGUAACCCGAGGUACCACUGUAGAACAAAUAAGCAGUUGGUUGUAAUGACAAUUACCCAAUGUAACUGUAAUGUUAGGGCAAUUCCCUGCUUCCGCAUUUCCCUUAUGUCACAGCUAGACAGGGUUUAGUCAGGAAUUGUGUGUUUAGGAAGCAAUGUGGCAUAAUGGCAUAAUGAUGGGCAGAGAACUGGACUGUGUCACAGGAAUAAUGUUGUAGGUCAGUAUAAUCUCCCCCCCCCCCCAGUUGCAUUUAUGGCACAGACAAUAUACAAACCAUGCAUGUUUAAUCAGAAGUAAUCUCCUAGGAUCAAUGGGAUUUACUCCCAAGUAAGCAUACAUAGACCUGAAAGCUUAAGACACUAUGCUACAAUUUAGCAUUGAUGUUGCCCAAGUUCCAAAUCUCAAGGAUUUGUACCGGUUAUGAAUACCUAGUUGCUAAGGUUUAGCCCAUGUAUAGUGGUCUAACAAACCUGUAACAAACAAUUCCAUAUUUCAUCGCCAAAUAUAAAUGAUAUUUAGCACCAUUGUCACAACUUGGCUCUGUGGUAAUAAUUCUGCAGACUGUGCUGAUCUUUACUUUGCCUUUAGCAAGGUUUCUAUCAAGUUUUAGGCCAGUGCCUUUCUGUAGAAGAAUUAAUCAUUGUAAUUAAAUCUCUCUCAAGAACAAUUGGAUGACUCACACUUCUGAAAUGUUCAGGUUGCUGAGAUGAUGAGUUGAUUCAUCAGGAACAAUGUUAGUUCAUCACUUUUUCUGUUCAGCUUGAAAUUUUAAUUCCAAUAAAAUGUAAUAUGAAUUCUAAUUGAAUGCCUUUUUAUGAUCCAUUUCAGUCAAAUCAGAUAAAAAUCGCUGUGUUUCUUUACCAAGGAACUGGUGAAAAUGUAGAAAAAAUAAAUUUUAAGUAUAGUUUUUUCCUGUGUUUGCCUCAUUCCAAUGAGAUUUUUUGGAUUUACCUCUCUAAAAAUCUGAAUCAAACAAGUUUACAAGUUUCAGAAAGAACCUGCCUGCACCUGAAAUGGUAAAAUGAACACCUGAAAAUUUUAAAACAAGUUUUUGACUUUUAUUGGGUGAUAAAUUGGUUUUUUGCUAUAUAAAAUCCACAGGUGCUCAUGUCUGUUUAUUGAACAUAUAGCUGAAAAGUGAACUAUAUUAAGAAUUGUGUCAGAGUGGUCAGCCACCCGUAACAGUCGUUAGCACUGGAUUUCUAAUCAUGCACUCAUAUAGCUAUUUAUUGUGAACAAUUCUGCUAAGCAGAAUUCUAAUGUGCUGGAAAAGUCAGUGUUUACUUGCCGUGUUGUUGAUGUACUCUGUUAAGUUUAGAAUUGCUUUUAUUUGCUAAUUGACUAUUACAUAGAAUUAUAGAAUCGUAGAAUUAUAGAGUUGGAAGGACCCUGAGGCUCAUCUAGACCAACCCCCUGAAAUGUAGGGAUCGCAACUAAAGCAUCCAUGACAGGUGGCCAUCCAGCCUCUGCUUAAAAACCUCCAAGGGAGUCCCGCACCUCCCGAGGGAGACCAUUCCACUGUCGAACAGCUCUUACUGUCAGAAAGUUCUUCCUGAUGUUUAGUCAGAAUCUUCUUUCUUGUAACUUGAAACAUCAGAUGCAUUUUCACAGCUGCUGGGGCCUGUUUGUGGGGUAAGAGCUGGGAAUCCCAAGUUCAAAUUCUCCUUGGGCAUUAGCUCAAUUCACAGACAUAUGCUUUAGAUGGUUGUUAUGUAAUAAUGCAACAAGGAGUUCACUAUACUUCUUUGGUAGCAGCUACCCGCUAGGAGAUUACGACUGAAAAUUCGGAAAAACUUUCUGCCAAUAAGAGCUGUUCGGCAGUGAAACAGACUCCCAUGAGACGUGGUGGACUCUCCUUCUUUGGAGGUUUUUAAGCAGAGGUUUGAUGGCCAUCAGUCAUGGAUGCUUUAGCUGAGAUUCCUGCAUUGCAGAGGGUUGGACUAGAUGACCCUUGGGUCCCUUCCAAGAUUCUAUGAUUCUAUGAAUUUCAGCAUCACUGAGAGAGACUACAUUACUUAUGUAUGUAGUUAUAGAUGAACCCUUAGCUGUUGUUUUUUAAGGUAAUAAAAUAAUUAAGAGCCUAGAAAUUCAAAAAUGGUGUUGCGGAGGUGUUGUAGAAAGUCAGGCCUCCAUCUUGUGCCACAUGUUAGGGAAUCAUCCAGUAGGUGCCACUUAGCCUUAGCCACUAAACGGGAAGUCUAAUAAUACUGCUUGUUGGGGACAGAAAUCACUGGUAGCAGUUUAACAGCAAUUUCCCAUCUAAGGUAGAACUGGGUGGUUGAGCCCUGGUCCACUCAGUUCUUUGUUGCAACAGGAUUGCAUGGAAGAGCUAGGAAUAAGCAAAACAAUCUAUUUCUGAUCUGCAUCAUACUUGUUUAGCAUUUAAUCUGUUCUGCCAUGUUUUUGCAUUACUCUGUGAUUAAAAGCAAACAAACAUUUAAAUAACCAUUUAAAUCUGUAUUUUUUAAAAAAAAUUCUCUCAGUAUACGCAAUUUAAACAUAUUCUGAGCCAACAAACUGCAGUGGAACUUGGGAAGUAUAAGUGCCAUUGAAAUCCAUGUUCCUGUCUGCACAUUAAUCUAUGAGGUGUGGUUCAGGUCAGUUUGUGUUGGAAUUUGCAAAGACUGAAUCUCUCAUGCAUCCUUGUAAGUAGACCUCCACUUACUGUUUACCAGAAUAUUCUUUGUAAGGGGUGGGAUCUGCACUUGCUUUGGGCAUGCUAAAGUGUUUGGACAUAUCCUGUACCAUGAUUGCCUUUCCCCUCUUCUCACAGAGGACUGUUAUUCUACAUCUCAAACUGUUUUGGAAAGUUCUCAGAGUUUCAAAAUAGAUUUGCUAGGUCACAUGGGGGAUCUGCUGUUUGAAAUGCAGAAACCCAAAGUGUUAGGUGCUACAACUAGUUGUGUGAUUCUUUGGAACUUGGCCACAGUUUUCAGGUAAACAUCAUGUUUUGGAAGAGUCAUUUUCAUAUAGAAAGGAAUAUUGAUUGCAAGGAGUUACGGUACGUAAUUUUUUAAUAGCUGCCACUAAUCUUCAUAAUUCAAGAUUGGGUUCUCUCUCUCUCUCUCUCUCUCUCUCUCUCUCUCCCUCUCUCUCUUAAUUGGGAUGGUUGUUUAAUGUUUCUUGAACUGGAACACAUGCAUCUGCAGCCAUCAGAGUAACUCUGUUGGAUGCCUGUCAAGAAAGAAUACCAUCAUAUAAAUCCUAUGUACACGCUUGUGUUUCUAGGAUAACUAUGGAAACAAUAUGUAGAUUAUUGGACUAUCAUACUCGGCCGAUUAGUGUUUAAGCAUUAAGAGUGUCACGCCCAGGAAAGAGCAAAAGAGAACAAUGAUUUUAAAGAAAGAUUGAGUCCUUAAUAGGAUGGGUCCAAAGGAGCUGUUCAAAGAUUACUGCUUUAAGAAGUCUGAAAUAAUGCCAUUCAAAGUAAUGCUCGGUGCCUGCCAUCCACAUGACACUCCAACUAUGUUUUUAAGACAAACAUGUACACACACAAACUCACACACCAGAUAGAUAUUGCCAGCUAUUGCCUGGAUAGCUAUUGUUUCACUUUGGUUUUUCAAUAAUGGCUUUUUGUGGCUGUCAGACUAAUGUUGCCUACAGUCAAAAGCAAAGCAAAAAUAUUGCCAUCUCCUAAAUAAAUAUGUAAAUAAAAAACAGUGAUUUGCCUUUGGUCGUUGUGCAGGACCAUACUCCAAAUGUGCUGCCUAAAAUGUAAACAGAUAAAAAUCUCAAAUGAGUACCAAAUCUUGCGGUUAUUUCUGUUUCAAAGUUUAAUUAAGUCAGGGGAACAAGCUGGUUGCUAACAGAGCAUCGGGGACUAUAGUGAGAUCUGACCGUUUCUAGCAUGUUGGAUUCCUGGACAAUAAUGGGGUGCUAAUUUUGAAAGCCUACACCACUGUCCCAAAAAAGAUGUUGUAGAAAAUCAGGCCUCCAGCGGUCCUGGCAGAGCCCAGACUGACCCUUGCAAAUGAAAAUAAUCAAAAGUAAUUAGAAGCGUGCUGGAUUACUCCUCGGAGAUCUGAGCGAGAGAAUAAACAUGCCGGAGCCCUUCGAGCCACUGCAAAGGGCCCAUGUCUGAGCUGUUAGGUGCCCUGACCUUGUCCACAUAAAGAUGUGAUUUAUGAAGUGCAGGGCACAGCAGCAGGGGCUUCUGUCUUCUCCAGAAGAACCAAAUUACUGAGGUGGAGAUUAACAUGCUUUCAGUUGGGCCCAUUUCCAGACCAAGGGAGAUUUUUUAUUCAG